rnacentral:rRNA from 1 species
GAUGAACGCUGGCGGCGUGCUUAACACAUGCAAGUCGAACGAUGAAGCCCAGCUUGCUGGGUAGAUUAGUGGCGAACGGGUGAGUAACACGUGAGUAACCUGCCCUUAACUCUGGGAUAAGCCUGGGAAACUGGGUCUAAUACCGGAUAGGAGCGUCCACCGCAUGGUGGGUGUUGGAAAGAUUUAUCGGUUUUGGAUGGACUCGCGGCCUAUCAGGUUGUUGGUGAGGUGAUGGCUCACCAAGGCGACGACGGGUAGCCGGCCUGAGAGGGUGACCGGCCAAACUGGGACUGGGACACGGCCCAGCCUCCUACGGGAGGCAGCAGUGGGGAAUAUUGCACAAUGGGCGAGAGCCUGAUGCAGCGACGCCGCGUGGGGGAUGACGGCCUUCGGGUUGUAAACAUCUUUCAGUAGGGAAGAAGCGAAAGUGACGGUACCUGCAGAAGAAGCACCGGCUAACUACGUGCCAGCAGCCGCCGUAA